rnacentral:rRNA from 1 species
GACGAACGCUGGCGGCGUGCUUAACACAUGCAAGUCGAACGAAGAGCGAUGGAAGCUUGCCUCUAUCAAUCUUAGUGGCGAACGGGUGAGUAACGCGUAAUCAACCUUCCCUUCAGAGGGGGACAACAGUUGGAAACGACUGCUAAUACCGCAUACGAUCUAAUCUCGGCAUCUAGGAAAGAUGAAAGGUGUCCUCUAUUUAUAAGCCCUCUCUGAAGGAGGGGAUUGCGUCUGAUUAGCCAGUUGGAGGGGUAACGUCCCACCAAGGCGAUGAUCAGUAGCCGGGCUGGGAGGAUGAACGGCCACAUUGGGACUGAGACACGGCCCAGACUCCUACGGGAGGCAGCAGGGGGGAAUCUUCCGAAAUGGACGAAAGUCUGACGGAGCAACGCCGCGUGAGUGAUGACGGCCUUCGGGUUGUAAAGCUCUGUUAAUCGGGACGAAAGGCCUUCUUGCGAACAGUUAGAAGGAUUGACGGUACCGGAAUAGAAAGCCACGGCUAACUACGUG